rnacentral:rRNA from 1 species
UAAUACGGAGGGUGCAAGCGUUGUUCGGAAUGACUGGGCGUAAAGAGCGCGUAGGUGGGUUCGUAUGUCAUCUGUGAAAGCCCCGGGCUUAACCUGGGAAUUGCAGGUGAAACUGCGAGUCUUGAAUACUGGAGGGGACGGUGGAAUUCCUGGUGUAGAAGUGAAAUUCAUAGAUAUCAGGAGGAACACCUGAGGCGAAGGCGGCCGUCUGGCCAUGUAUUGACGCUGUGGCGCGAAAGCGUGGGUAGCAAACAGGAUUAGAUACCCUGGUAGUCCACGCCGUAAACGAUGGAUACUAGGUGUUCGGAGUAUUAACCCUCUGAGUACCGUAGUUCACGCAUUAAGUAUCCCGCCUGGGGAGUACGGUCGCAAGGCUA